rnacentral:rRNA from 1 species
UACGGAGGGAGCUAGCGUUGUUCGGAAAUACUGGGCGUAAAGCGCACGUAGGCGGCGCAGCAAGUCAGGGGUGAAAUCCCGGGGCUCAACCCCGGAACUGCCCUUGAAACUGCAGUGCUAGAAUCUUGGAGAGGCGAGUGGAAUUCCGAGUGUAGAGGUGAAAUUCGUAGAUAUUCGGAAGAACACCAGUGGCGAAGGCGACUUACUGGACACAUACUGACGCUGAGGUGCGAAAGCGUGGGGAGCAAACAGG